UAUAUACUCUCUCCGUUCCAAAUUACUUGUCGUAAAAAUGAAUAGAAAUGAAUGUAUCUAAAAUUAAAAUGCAUCUAAAUACAUUCAUUCCUUCGACAAGUAUUUCAGGAUGGAGGAAGCAUGAC
rfam:Hordeum vulgare subsp. vulgare, WGS project CAJW01000000 data, contig: morex_contig_84097